GCCCACCGCCAGAAGGGCCAAUCAGAGCGCCCCGCCCUGCCCAAGCCACGCCCACCGCGCCGCCAGCUCCGCCCCCUCCGCGUGCAGCCAUUGGAAUUCCUCAGCGAAUCAGAGGAGGAGAGGGAUGCGCAGAGGAAGACCCGCGGUGCCCCCCACCGCCGCCCCCCCCCCGGUGAGAGCCGCUUUUUUUUCUCUUCCCUUUCACCCAAAAUUCCCUUCUUUCACCCCAAAAUCGGCCCCGUUUCCCCCCCCCCCCCCCCCCCCCCCCCCCGC